rnacentral:misc_RNA from 1 species
CGUCCGGACUGGCCCAGAGAGGCGGGCAACUGCUCCUCAGGGCCGGAAAGCUCUCCAAACUCGGUCAUUUAGAGGAAGUAAAAGUCGUAACAAGGUCUCCGUUGGUGAACCAGCGGAGGGAUCAUUACCGAGUUUACAACUCCCAAACCCCUGUGAACAUACCUACGUUGCUUCGGCGGACCACCCCAACCCCCUCGGGGCGAGGGGCCGCCAGAGGACCCAAAACCCAANUGUUUUUUCCGUAACGAAACCUAUUCUGAGUGGAAUUAUUAAAUAAAUCAAAACUUUCAACAACGGAUCUCUUGGCUCUGGC